GUGGUCUCUUUCCUGGGCCGGCUGUCGUCCAGCCGCCGAAUACGUAACAGCUGGUGGUAGCGGUGGCGGCGGUAUGGAGCGCACGUCGAAGGCGGCCUUGGCGUCCGGUUUGAUCCUGUCGUGCCGGAUGGCGAAGUAAACCCUGCUCCAGGCGCCUGCAGCCAACUCCCGUGCUGCAGCCAAUCGACACUCGGCGAGUGGUGCCCGUUCUGAACAUCGCCUCCUCUUGGCCUUUAAUGCCAAUCUUCGUGGCCGUGUUCCAGCCAGAAGACGCGCAAUGCCAUCUCCAUUUCUUUCUGCGGUGGCUACUUCAACGACCAGUGCCACCAUGCACCUCAGCGUCUUGACCCACGCCAUGCACAAGGACAAUAUGACCGUGCGAAACGUGUCAGUGCUGUGCUUGGACAAACCUGCCCACGUGUUGGCUGCCUGUUCCCACCUCCAGCCGUUCAUGAAGCGUCAUCCUCUUGAACUUCUGUUAUGGGUAGCUUUGGCCGAGUUGUAACAUUCGCACUGCUCGCCCUCUUUCUACGUCGGGGCUUUCUGAAACAUUGCCCCGCUUGCUGUUAUCUUGCUGUUUUCUUUUCUUUCGUGCCAACUUGCGAUUGGCUGUGUAGCGCUUAAAAACGCGUCGCAAGGUGAAUAAACUGGGAUUGUCUUCCUGGCA